rnacentral:rRNA from 1 species
UACGUAGGCAGCGAGCGUUGUUCGGAAUUACUGGGCGUAAAGAGUGUGUAGGCGGUGCUCUAAGUUCGGUGUGAAAUCUCCCGGCUUAACUGGGAGGGUGCGCCGGAAACUGGAGUGCUCGAGCGUGGGAGAGGAAAGCGGAAUUCCUGGUGUAGCAGUGAAAUGCGUAGAGAUCGGGAGGAACACCAGUGGCGAAGGCGGCUACCUGGACCAGCACUGACACUGAAGCACGAAAGCGUGGGGAGCAAACAGG